rnacentral:ribozyme from 15 species
AAAAAACAAAAACCAAAAGUUUGAAACAAAAAAAUUAACAAAUAAGUAAAUAACGAAAAAGCGGUAAGUAUAAAAAAGAGUGAACAUAUAAUAAGGAUCAUGUUUUUUUUUUUUUUUUUUUUUAAUUUUUCGUAACCACAACACUAUUUUUUGACGGGUGUUCGCUUCUCAUUUAACAAGGCUAAAAAUUCUUUCCCCCCGAUUAAAAAAA